AGUGAACGCUGGCGGUAGGCCUAACACAUGCAAGUCGAACGGCAGCACAGUAAGAGCUUGCUCUUACGGGUGGCGAGUGGCGGACGGGUGAGGAAUACAUCGGAAACUACUUUUUCGUGGGGGAUAACGUAGGGAAACUUACGCUAAUACCGCAUGCGACCUACGGGUGAAAGCAGGGGAUCUUCGGACCUUGCGCGAUUGAAUGAGCCGAUGUCGGAUUAGCUAGUUGGCGGGGUAAAGGCCCACCAAGGCGACGAUCCGUAGCUGGUCUGAGAGGAUGAUCAGCCACACUGGAACUGAGACACGGUCCAGACUCCUACGGGAGGCAGCAGUGGGGAAUAUUGGACAAUGGGCGCAAGCCUGAUCCAGCCAUACCGCGUGGGUGAAGAAGGCCUUCGGGUUGUAAAGCCCUUUUGUUGGGAAAGAAAAGCAGCAGGUUAAUACCCCGCUGUUCUGACGGUACCCAAAGAAUAAGCACCGGCUAACUUCGUG
rnacentral:rRNA from 1 species